GUAGCUCUCAUUAUAGCUCAGUUAGUAGAGCAUGAGACUCUUAAAAUGAGGGUCUUGGGUUUGAGCCCCACGUUGGGCUACA